CUACGUUGGCCUCGUGACCGGGCCCUGUAGCGGAAGCCCAGGUCAAGGCCCUAACAAAAGGGCCCGCCUAUGGCCACAGUUUCAGGCCCUCCUUUCAGUCAUGGACUGUUGAAGCACGAUUUCCUGGUGCUUUCGCCCCUUUCACCGACCAUUUCAAGAGUCCGUAGUUCUCGCCUGGGUUUGGAUUCGGUAUAAGUGAGCCUGUUUACCAUCAAAGAAAAUGGUGAAAUGUCUUCUGGAGACGAUGUUCUCUUCUGGUUCUAACCCUGUCACUCAGUGAGACCCCCAGAGAAGCCUAGUUUUCAGAUUAUUCUAGUCCUUGGCAGGCUCAAGAUGUCAACAACACGGUUGGAAACAACCCCUGAGAGGUCACAUAGCGCGCACUCAGCUUUACAGAUCGUCCAAGGCAGCGACCCCUGAGAGGUCACAUAGCGCGCACUCAGCUUUAUAGAUCGUCCAAGGCAGCAAUUAGAAUCAGCAACUCGGAGAGGAAAAAAAGCUGUUAGCGGAAUGGAGGCUGACCAUUAUCUGUAGUAAAGAAUCGGAAGUACAGUACAAAAAUAAAUUACCGAAACGCAACAUGCGUGAAUUUCACACAAAAAAAUGAAGUUGAGGGAAAGAAGCCAGACAUGGAAGAGUUCAUAUUGCGUGGUUCCAUUUAAAAACUAGCCCAUGGUGUUAAUGAGCAUAGUGGGGAGGACAAUGACAUGAAAGAGCCACCAGGGGGCUUUUGAGGUUCAGGAUCCCCAGCCAGUGAGCCUAAAAUGGGUAGAAGGAAAAGAUAUUUCUUACCCUACGCACCCAGGUCCAAGUCAUCAUUAUUUUGUCUGAAAUUUAUCUUCCUAACUGAUUUCUCUGCUUCCCCAUUGUGCCUUAAGAGUUAGUUUUCCACAGAGCAGCUCGAGAUAUCUUUUCAGAUCAUUAUAUCCCUUUGCUUAAAAACCUCUAACAGCUUCCUAUUAGGCUUAGAAUAAAGUACAAAC
rnacentral:lncRNA from 10 species